CCUACGGGUGGCAGCAGUGGGGAAUAUUGGACAAUGGGCGAAAGCCUGAUCCAGCCAUGCCGCGUGUGUGAAGAAGGCCUUCGGGUUGUAAAGCACUUUCAGUGGGGAAGAAAGCCUUGGGGCUAAUACCCUCGAGGAAGGACAUCACCCACAGAAGAAGCACCGGCUAACUCCGUGCCAGCAGCCGCGGUAAUACGGAGGGUGCGAGCGUUAAUCGGAAUUACUGGGCGUAAAGCGCGCGUAGGCGGUCUGUAAGCCGGUUGUGAAAGCCCCGGGCUCAACCUGGGAACGGCAUCCGGAACUGUCAGGCUAGAGUGCAGGAGAGGAAGGUAGAAUUCCCGGUGUAGCGGUGAAAUGCGUAGAGAUCGGGAGGAAUACCAGUGGCGAAGGCGGCCUUCUGGACUGACACUGACGCUGAGGUGCGAAAGCGUGGGUAGCAAACAGGAUUAGAUACCCGGGUAGUC
rnacentral:rRNA from 1 species